GAUCCCCUUCGGGGGUGACGCUUGUGGAAUGAGCGGCGGACGGGUGAGUAACACGUGGGCAACCUGCCUGUAAGACUGGGAUAACCCCGGGAAACCGGGGCUAAUACCGGAUAAUACUUUCUUUUGCAUAAAGGAAAGUUGAAAGGCGGCUUCGGCUGUCACUUACAGAUGGGCCCGCGGCGCAUUAGCUAGUUGGUGAGGUAACGGCUCACCAAGGCGACGAUGCGUAGCCGACCUGAGAGGGUGAUCGGCCACACUGGGACUGAGACACGGCCCAGACUCCUACGGGAGGCAGCAGUAGGGAAUCUUCCGCAAUGGACGAAAGUCUGACGGAGCAACGCCGCGUGAGUGAUGAAGGUUUUCGGAUCGUAAAACUCUGUUGUUAGGGAAGAACAAGUUGGGUAGUAACUGACCCAACCUUGACGGUACCUAACCAGAAAGCCACGGCUAACUACGUGCCAGCAGCCGCGGUAAUACGUAGGUGGCAAGCGUUGUCCGGAAUUAUUGGGCGUAAAGCGCUCGCAGGCGGUCCUUUAAGUCUGAUGUGAAAUCUCGCGGCUCAACCGCGAACGGUCAUUGGAAACUGGAGGACUUGAGUACAGAAGAGGAGAGUGGAAUUCCACGUGUAGCGGUGAAAUGCGUAGAGAUGUGGAGGAACACCAGUGGCGAAGGCGACUCUCUGGUCUGUAACUGACGCUGAGGAGCGAAAGCGUGGGGAGCGAACAGGAUUAGAUACCCUGGUAGUCCACGCCGUAAACGAUGAGUGCUAGGUGUUAGGGGGUUUCCGCCCCUUAGUGCUGAAGUUAACGCAUUAAGCACUCCGCCUGGGGAGUACGGCCGCAAGGCUGAAACUCAAAAGAAUUGACGGGGGCCCGCACAAGCGGUGGAGCAUGUGGUU
rnacentral:rRNA from 1 species